rnacentral:rRNA from 1 species
UUCAAGAAUCAAGGGCUUAUGAGGGAUACCUAGGCAUUCAGAAGCGAUGAAGGACGUGGCUACCUACGAUAAGCUUCGGGUAGCUGGAAGCAAGCUGUGAUCCGAAGAACUCCGAAUGAGGAAACUCUUAAAACUCCUUGUUGAAUAUAUAGACAAGAAAGAGCAAACCUGGGGAAUUGAAACAUCUUAGUACCCGGAGGAAAAGAAAGUAAACUACGAUUACCUUAGUAGCGGCGAGCGAAAUGGUAAGGACGCCUAAACUAAUUUUAUUAGGGUUGUUGGGACAGCGAAUAAAAAAAACGUUAGGAGAAGUAUUUGGAAUAAUACACCAUAGAAAGUGAAAGUCUUGUACCUUAAAACAAUAUAAACUUACUGUAUCCCGAGUAGCAUGGAGCACGUGUAAUUCCGUGUGAAUCAGCGAGGACCACCUCGCAAGGCUGAAUAUUCCUGAAUGACCGAUAGUGAACCAGUACCGUGAGGGAAAGGUGAAAAGAACCCCGGGAGGGGAGUGAAAUAGAACAUGAAAUCAUAAGCUUACAAGCAGUAGGAGGACGACUUAACGUUUGACUACGUUCCUGUUGAAGAAUGAGCCGGCGACUUAUAGGGAAUGGCAUGGUUAAAAUUAUAUUGGAGCCGUAGCGAAAGCGAGUUUGAAUUAGAGCGUUUGUCAUUUUUUAUAGACCCGAACCCGGAUGAUCUAACCAUGGCCAGGUUGAAACUUAGGUAAUACUAAUUGGAGGACCGAACCGACUGAUGUUGAAAAAUCAGCGGAUGAGUUGUGGUUAGGGGUGAAAUGCCAAUCGAAUCCGGAGCUAGCUGGUUCUCCCCGAAAUGUGUUUAGGCGCAGCGGUUAAUUUUGUAUUUUAGGGGUAAAGCACUGUUUCGAUGCGGGCCGGUAAUUCGGUACCAAAUCGAGGCAAACUAAGAAUACUAAAAUAUCUUUUAACCAGUAAGACUGUGGGGGAUAAGCUCCAUUGUCAAGAGGGAAACAGCCCAGACCACCAGCUAAGGCCCCUAAAUAAUUACUAAGUGAUAAAGGAAGUAGAAGUGCUUAGACAACCAGGAGGUUUGCUUAGAAGCAGCAAUCCUUUAAAGAAUGCGUAAUAGCUCACUGGUCGAGUAAAUUUGCGCCGAAAAUGUAUGGGGCUAAGUAAUUUGCCGAAGCUGUGGGAUAUCUAUAUUAUAAAUAUCGGUAGGGGAGCGUUCUGUUAUAGGUUGAAGCAUUAGCGAAAGCGGGUGUGGACGAAACAGAAGUGAGAAUGUCGGCUUGAGUAGCGAAAACAUUGGUGAGAAUCCAAUGCCCCGAAAACCUAAGGUUUCCUUCGGAAGGCUCGUCCGCGGAGGGUAAGUCAGGACCUAAGGCGAGGCUGAGAAGCGUAGUCGAUGGACAACAGGUUAAUAUUCCUGUACUAUUAAUAAUCAAGUAAGGGCAAGGAGUGACGGAGCAGGCUAAGCUAGCCGGAUUCUGGUUACCGGUUUAAACGUUCUAAGUGUUGAUAAAUAGAGAAAAUAUUUUGAGCUGAGACGUGAAUACGUUAUGCUACGGCAUUUAAGUAGUUGAUGUCAUACUUCCAAGAAAAGCUUCCACUGUCGAAUUAUUAAUACCUGUACUGUAAACCGACACAGGUGGGUAAGUAGAGAAUACUAAGGGGCGCGAGAUAACUCUCUCUAAGGAACUCGGCAAAAUAGCCCCGUAACUUUGGGAGAAGGGGUACCUUGAGAAAGGUUGCAAUAAUCAGGUCCAAGCGACUGUUUACCAAAAACACAGGUCUCCGCUAAGUCGUAAGACGAUGUAUGGGGGCUGACGCCUGCCCAGUGCCGGAAGGUUAAAGAAGUCGGUUUUUGCUGAUAACUGAAGCCCCGGUGAACGGCGGCCGUAACUAUAACGGUCCUAAGGUAGCGAAAUUCCUUGUCGGGUAAG